rnacentral:rRNA from 1 species
UACGUAGGGUGCGAGCGUUGUCCGGAAUUAUUGGGCGUAAAGGGCUCGUAGGCGGUUUGUCGCGUCUGCUGUGAAAGACCGGGGCUCAACUCCGGUUCUGCAGUGGGUACGGGCAGACUAGAGUGCAGUAGGGGAGACUGGAAUUCCUGGUGUAGCGGUGAAAUGCGCAGAUAUCAGGAGGAACACCGAUGGCGAAGGCAGGUCUCUGGGCUGUAACUGACGCUGAGGAGCGAAAGCAUGGGGAGCGAACAGG